rnacentral:rRNA from 1 species
GAGGCCUGCCUGCCCAGUGACAAACGUUCAACGGCCGCGGUAUCCUGACCGUGCAAAGGUAGCAUAAUCACUUGUUCCUUAAUUGGGGACUGGAAUGAAUGGCCUCACGAGGAUUCAACUGUCUCUUACCUCUAAUCAGUGAAAUUGACCUCCCCGUGAAGAGGCGGGGAUACAACAACAAGACGAGAAGACCCUAUGGAGCUUUAAUUUUCUGUCUUAACUACUAAGUAACUAACCCUACUGGGAUAAAAAAAAAGAGAAGUAAGUCAGUAAUUUCGGUUGGGGUGACCUCGGAGAAUAAGACAACCUCCGAAUGAUUUUAACCAAGACAAACAAGUCAAAGUAUUAAAAAUCAAAUUGACCCAAUUCAUUUGAUCAACGGACCAAGUUACCCUAGGGAUAACAGCGCAAUCCUAUUCAAGAGUCCAUAUCGACAAUUAGGGUUUACGACCUCGAUGUUGGAUCAGGACAUCCCAAUGGUGCAGCAGCUAUUAAUGGUUCGUUUGUUCAACGAUUAAAGUCCUACGUGAUCUG